GGUCGGGGCCUUGUCUUGACUGAGUGCAAGAUCCUCUUUAGACUCUUGUACCCCUAAAUUUGGUAGGGCUCCGUCCUGCCAAUUUUUGCUUUUCUUGCAAGACAAUAGCGUCGCAAGACAAUCAGUGGAGCUAGUAGA
rnacentral:sRNA from 1 species